rnacentral:rRNA from 1 species
UAAGGAAUAUUGGUCAAUGGACGCAAGUCUGAACCAGCCAUGCCGCGUGAAGGAUGAAGGUCCUCUGGAUUGUAAACUUCUUUUAUCUGGGACGAAAACGGGAUUUUUAUCUCAAUUGACGGUACCAGAGGACUAAGCACCGGUUAACUCCGUGCCAGCAGCCGCGGUAAUACGGAGGGUGCGAGCGUUAUCCGGCGUUACUGGGUUUAAAGGGUGCGUAGGUGGGCUUAUAAGUCAGUGGUGAAAUCUCCGAGCUUAACUUUGAAACUGCCGUUGAUACUAUAGGUCUUGAAUUAUCUGGAGGUAAGCGGAAUAUGUCAUGUAGCGGUGAAAUGCUUAGAUAUGACAUAGAACACCAAUUGCGAAGGCAGCUUACUACAUAUAAAUUGACGCUGAGGCACGAAAGCGUGGGGAUCAAACA